UUCUUUUUUAAACUACCACCAAUAUUCGGCUUCACCGGUUAACAUGAAGGCUACUAAGGGAAUUUUUUGCUUCUUAGUUAGGUCGAAGACAGAAAAGUUUCUCUAUCUCUAGGAUCCAGGUUUCGGCUACUAAGGGAUUGGGGCCUCCUUUAAAGUGGGGUAGGUUAAGUUUCCUAAACUCUGCUAUGUUGUAGCAGAUAGAUCUCUCAAUUGGUCAGUAGUCAGGGGCAGGAGGAUGUUGGCAAGGGUUGGCGUGUUUUUGUCCUACGGCUGCGAAUAGACCUUGAAUGGCUUGGAAGAGUUCCGUAAACUCGGUCCUGGUCGGAUGAUCUUGAGCCUUAGGUCUUU
rnacentral:lncRNA from 1 species